rnacentral:lncRNA from 1 species
CUUGAGUAGGGAGAUGCUCUGUCUUGUGCUGCCUGAGUCAGCCAGGGGCACCCAGCUCCUCUGCUGUGUGGCCCUCCGUCUCCUGGAAGCUGGAAUCAGGCAUCGAGAAGUGCAGUCCCAGAAAUAGGGAAGCCUCACACUGAGAUAUGACCUACAGAUGGAACAGCAGUGUGCACAGAAAUCACAGUAGCUUGGGCUUCAGUGGUCCACUCGUCCAUGGCCUCACCUGAAACAGAGGGAAGAAUCUUGCCCAUGAGAACAUAGAGGCCUGAGUGCAGAUGACAGGGCUCCCAUGAGUCGGUGAAUUCUGAGACAAUAUCAAACCAUUCUUCAAAUUCCAGUGACCCUGACCUUGAGACUGAAAAAUUUCUAGACAUUAAGUGGGUUUUAAAAUGAGAAGAUCACUGUAAGCUGACAUUCAAUUAUCUACAGUUUAGGCAAAAAUAAAAGCUAAGAAAAGGUAUUUGGAGGCAAAUUUUGAGCAGAGAAGUCACAAAAG